rnacentral:rRNA from 1 species
UACGAAGGGGGCGAGCGUUGUUCGGAUUUACUGGGCGUAAAGGGCGCGCAGGCGGCUUAUUUUGUCAGGCGUGAAAGCCCCGGGCUUAACCUGGGAACUGCGUUUGAUACGGAUGGGCUAGAGUUCGGGAGAGGAGAGUGGAAUUCCCAGUGUAGAGGUGAAAUUCGUAGAUAUUGGGAAGAACACCGGUGGCGAAGGCGGCUCUCUGGACAGAGACUGACGCUGAGGCGCGAAAGCGUGGGGAGCAAACAGG